rnacentral:rRNA from 1 species
UACGUAGGGUGCGAGCGUUAAUCGGAAUUACUGGGCGUAAAGCGUGCGCAGGCGGUUCGUUGUGUCGGCGGUGAAAGCCCCGGGCUCAACCUGGGAAUGGCCGUUGAAACUGGCGAACUGGAGUGUGGCAGAGGGGGGGUGGAAUUCCGCGUGUAGCAGUGAAAUGCGUAGAGAUGCGGAGGAACACCGAUGGCGAAGGCAGCCCCCUGGGCUGACACUGACGCCUCAGGCACGAAAGCGUGGGGAGCAAACAGG